GCCCUAGUAGCUUAGCGUUUUAAAGCGCCGGUCUUGUAAUCCGGAAACGGAGGUUAAAAUCCUCCCUGAGGCC
rnacentral:tRNA from 2 species